UACGUAGGGGGCAAGCGUUGUCCGGAAUCAUUGGGCGUAAAGAGCGUGUAGGCGGCUUGGUAAGUCCGCUGUGAAAGUCCAGGGCUCAACCCUGGAAUGCCAGUGGAAACUGUCAAGCUAGAGUCCGGAAGAGGCGAGUGGAACUCCUGGUGUAGCGGUGAAAUGCGCAGAUAUCAGGAAGAACACCAAUGGCGAAGGCAGCUCGCUGGGACGGUGACUGACGCUGAGGAGCGAAAGCGUGGGGAGCGAACAGG
rnacentral:rRNA from 1 species